AAGGAAGAAAAGAUUUUUAAUCCCCGUGAUAAUAAUCAGCUGACUGCGGAUAUUUUUGCAAGUAUAUUCUUUCUUUUUUAAGAAUACGCUGAAAGGUAUUAUUUUCUUUUGCAAACUCUAUGCAUUUUGUAUCCUCUGAAUAUGUUAUUUUAUUUUAUAUUAUCUAGUAUAUAUUACUAUGUGUUGUGAAUAGAUACCGUGUAAUAAUCAAAGUAUUUUGGAUUGUUUAAUAAUCAAGGUACACUCGUGAUCAGACUUCCCCAGGAAAAAUGGUAAUGUCCAGGUUUCUCACCCUUCCCCAUAGGCGUCCUCGGGGAAAAUGCAAUAUACUUGACACCGGAGCAACCAAACUCAUAAAAAUGAUGGAUAUCAAAUUUUAUUUUAAAUUACAGAAAUGAUUGAAGUGCUUUUGUUGAAAUGAAUAUUAACUUUUGUAGACAAAAAAAUGAUUAUAUUUGCGCAUUUAUUUUUCGUCCUUCGUUUAUUUAUUUAGUAGUAAGUGUACAUCCAACACCAGUUGUUGCAAUGUUCAUUAGAAAUAUUAAUUGAUCAGCUGGUGUAACAAUGAAAAUAAUUAUAAAAUUGUGUUUUACCUACCUGUAGAAUUUAGAUUAACGGUAACUAUUAUACGUUUAGUGUCUUAUCAAAUAUUUUUUAAACGUCUGCAUCGUGCGUUUGAUAAUGGGGAUGUUGCAAUUUAAUAUCAUGUAACAUAUUGACAAUUGCAUUCACGUAGUUAAUAAGACACUCAAACGUUCACGUGCAUUAUCAAAGACGGCUACGUGAAUCCAAUGGUUUGUUUGAUUUGCGAUCAAGAUGAGUUAAUGAAUUACGUAAACCUGAUGUUUAAUAUAUUCGUACGCAUCUUGUCCACGUCUUCAGAGACGUAAGAUUAAUUGAACUGCGCACUUCUGCAUUGAAAUGAUCAGCAAAUUAUUAGUAACAAAGCCAUUAGAUAGAAAGAUGCAUAUCUUAAAAGUAAUAACAAAAUAUAUUAUACUGAUAUAUCAGUAUAAUAAUGUAAUUGUAAAUUUUGUUAACUCGUGUUUGAAUGGCAGGAAACAGGAAUAAGCAUAUUAAUAGAGUAAAAUGAAAGCGACAGCGCUAUCCUUGGAAACAUGUAGAUUAGUAUCUCGGAAAAAUUUGUAUUUAUUGAUUCGCUCUACUUUUAGUCGUGGCUCGUACAAUUAGAAAGCUAAUUUUUGUCGUUUGUUAAAUAUAUUGCACGCGAGAACAACCGGUUCUCCAGACAACAAUUUAUUUAUUCUAACUAUUUUUAUAUUUUUAAAAUAGAUUAUUCCUACACAUUCGAUUUGAUGCCGUGUAAACGGGAAACGAUUUGCAAGCUAAAGGAAAAUUUUAAUAAUAUUACGUCAGCAAAAUACGUGUAUUAUGAAUUUUUCCUAUAUAAAUUGAUAACACUAACUCAGAAUAAAAAUAAGAAAAUUAGUA